AGAUCUAAUAGCAUAUGACAGAAGAGGAAAUCAUGUUGGAAAUUCUCUCAGUAAUACCAUGAAGGACAGUUCUCUCAUUUUGGAAGGGGGAAAAAUUACACCAGGCACAAAGAAGAAGGAAACCAGAGUGGGUGACAAUUCCCCAGUGAUCUGGCCACGGUACUUUAGGAUAUCCAAGCUCUGCCUCCCUGGUGCUUGGAUGCAGGUGGGAAGAGGCAGGCAAGGGAUGAUACCAGAAGGUGGUAUCAUCAUCACCUCAUUACCUUUCAGGCUAUAAUAAAUAUAUUUUAAAAUUAAAAAGCAAUCACAUAAAUCUGGGCUGAAAUCUUCCAAGUGGCAAUUUCCGAUGAAGGUCACUGGAGUGCCCACACUGUUCAUUUCUCCUCCUUCCUUUCCUGCAGCGCACUGCAUCAGUUAUCCUCCUGAGGAAAGAAUAAAAAAACAAUUUCAGCAUCUAGGGUGGAAGAGGAGAGUGUUAAUUGUUGUGAAAUUUGACAGGGGGGAAGCCUCCCUGAACCCGCCGGGGCCAUUUAAAGCUUUUCUGCCCCCUCUAGACUAGCACAGGUGCACGCGCAUCAGACCUCAAAAGAGGGAAGACGUUUAUAUAGAAAGCAGUAAUACGUCAGGACUGGCCCAUGUCUGGAUGUGUCUCGUCUUACCCCCAGUUGUCAGGACAUGUCAUGUCGGCUGUCAGUAACAUUUCAUUCCUCUUUUCAGAAGAUGCAGUCAAAAUGCCAGUUAGCGUAGAAGUUGUGCAUGGGUCGGUUAAUUGCCUUGAAAUUAAAAAGAAAGACACCAAAAAAAAAAAAGAGAGAGAGAGAGAGAGAGAGAGAGAGAGAGAGAGACACCAAUGUGGUGGUGGUUUUAAUUCAGAGAGUUACUAAAAUAGAUAGGGAUUCUAGAAAAAAAUUAGGUCAUGUCUAAGUGGAAUUGAUAGGCCAUGAAAUGGACCCAGGUGAUGUUCUUGAAUAGGGAAAAGGGAACAUGUUACUAGUACACCCUUAGUUAAGAUUCCCUGUAGGGUCUGGAGCCCAGCCUGUGCAUGUGUGUUGUGUAGCCAGCCCAAGGGCUCCCCUCAAGAUGUCAAGCCCACCUACUUAACCCUACUGUCUAGCAAGUGGAACUAAGAUGAGGCAAUGCGUCUUAGAACUAGGGAUUACAGAAGCUGUUGAAAGAUCAAGAUAAUUUCUCUGCCUUCAGGGAGGAAUAAUCUAAAAUCAUUCUAUAUGUAUUAAAUUAUUGUUCAUAAAUUAUAUUUCUAUGAAAAACCUCACAGAGGCACCCAGGGGGAAGCUAUUUAGAAUUAAUUCAUCGCUGUCAGGAAAUUGUUCACAUGUAACCUCUCAUACUUCAGGCUCAGAUUUCCUUUUUCAUCCUUUUGUGGAGAGACGCACAGUGGCUGGUUAUUAUCUUCAUCCACCUUCUUAAUCUUUUUUUCCUUACAUAUAUUUGCUUCUGAAAUCUUUCCUCAUAUGCCCUUAAACAAUAUUCAUUGCCUGAUGUUGAGCCCUUCCUGAAAUCGGUUGCUUUCAUUAUGAAACCAAGCUGGUCUGUGUAUUCUGGAAAAAGUUUGGCCAAUUCAACACACAGAGAGCUAUGAUUUAAUGAUCCUGUGUUCCAGAACUCACUCCUCCAGGACCACACUCACCCUUUAAACCACAGCAUGAGGAUGGCUGAUGGCCAUUUAUUGUCUUGUUACUUUCCUACCAGACUUGCACGUGACUAUUCUGUCUUUCCCAAUAACAGUUCCUCACCAAAGGUUUCCUUCAUGGCCAGGAUUAAAUGGUUUUGACUGGUUGUUCAGUGAGUUUAUAGGACCCAUUU